rnacentral:misc_RNA from 1 species
CGGCUUGGACCAGAAGUACAGCGGGCAGAACGAAAGGCCGGCCGCCAACGCCGCCAAGGUCAUAUAGUCAGCCGUUACGCCGGCGCGGGCCAGGACGCUCAGCACCGGACCGAACAGACGCUCGCGCGCCCGCUGCCCCCACUGCAUGGCGCCGCGUUCGGCGGCCGAGUAGCAAUCGGCUUUGACGUCGGAAGAUUGCGGCAUGCGCGCCCCUUGGCUCUAGGCGCCAAUGUCGGGCUGAAGGAUCCGGAACUGCAACCCUUUGAUCGGAGCCCCGCCGUUGUGAAACGUCAGGCCG